rnacentral:lncRNA from 1 species
CCUCAGCACGUCUCAAAAAAGCUCAGUGACUAAAGAAGGAAUAUAUAACGUACAGAAUAUAGAACUUAUGGAAUAUAAUUAGAGUUGAAUACUGGCAGUGAGUUUGAAAGGUGGGGAAGACUUAAGUUUAAAAAGACUACAAGACCUGCUACUACAGAGCUGCUACUUUUCUCCUGAGCAGAUCCUGCCAGAGUGCAAUACAGCACUGCCAAUCAGGAAGAAACAGUAAGUCUGUAGAAGAAGAAAAGCAGCGCCCAUAAAGAGACCACCUACUAACCUACUAUGCGCUUUAUAAUAGCAAAUGUACUGUAGAUCAUGAAAAGUCAAUGUAAACCCAUUUUAUUUCCACUUUGAACAAAUUCUGUCACUUAUUUUGAUAUCAG